AUUGAACGCUGGCGGCAUGCCUUACACAUGCAAGUCGAACGGCAGCGCGGGAGCAAUCCUGGCGGCGAGUGGCGAACGGGUGAGUAAUAUAUCGGAACGUGCCCAGUAGUGGGGGAUAGCCUGGCGAAAGCCGGAUUAAUACCGCAUACGACCUACGGGUGAAAGGGGGGGAUCGCAAGACCUCUCGCUAUUGGAGCGGCCGAUAUCAGAUUAGGUAGUUGGUGGGGUAAAGGCCUACCAAGCCUGCGAUCUGUAGUUGGUCUGAGAGGACGACCAGCCACACUGGGACUGAGACACGGCCCAGACUCCUACGGGAGGCAGCAGUGGGGAAUUUUGGACAAUGGGCGCAAGCCUGAUCCAGCAAUGCCGCGUGCAGGAAGAAGGCCUUCGGGUUGUAAACUGCUUUUGUCAGGGAAGAAAUCCUCUAGGCUAAUACCUUGGGGGGAUGACGGUACCUGAAGAAUAAGCACCGGCUAACUACGUGCCAGCAGCCGCAGUAACAC
rnacentral:rRNA from 1 species